UAGAUAUUUUCUGGGAUUAAAUAGAAAUUAAAUCGGAGCAUUCAGAAAAGAAAUCUGAUUGAGAGAAUUAGAAUAUGAAAAGAAUUGAAGAUUGGGAGACAAAAGUGCACAAAAGAUCAAGAAUUGGAGAAAUAAAGAAUAUUUUUCCAAUUAGAGCUUGUAGGGGCCAAGCAAAAUUAACUUUGCACAUGGAGCUAAAAUUGGAAAAUGGAAGUAAAAAAUGAAGCCAAGCCAAUUACAAGCUAAGCCAUCACAUGGAGCUAAAAUUGGAAAAAGGAGAUUGCCAUUCAGCACGUGAGAGGAAGAAAAGAAUAAAGCCUUUUGGCUUUAAGCAUGGCCAAUCAAAAGAGUUUGUGAAUGAAGACAAAAAAAGAAAGCAAAUAUUUUGCAUGACAAUUUAAAUGGCAAGCACGUUAUGAAAGUGGCGGUUUUGGCUUGGAUUUAAUUCUUUCCAUACAAGGAUUUAAAAGCCACACUUGAAGCCUUAUAUAAGGGCCAAGCGGAAGCAACACGGGGGGGUUUUUAUUCGGCAGCCACACAUACAAAAUAAUUUGCAGCCGCAAGGGAGAAGAAAAAAAUAGAGGAGGCAACCGUUUGAAUUAAUCUUUAUGUCUGGUUUUAUUAACUCUUUUAUUCCCAAUUUAAUUAUGUUAGGCUAGAUUUUCUAUUUGGUUGAGGGUGAAUUCAAAACCCUAAACAUGCUAUGCAAUUAAAUUUAAAUUCUAUCAUUCAAUUUAUUUAAUUGAGAUUGUUUAUGUUCUUCAAUAAUUAUUGUUUAUGAUUUUAUUCUCGUCUUGUUUGAGUGGCCAAUUAGAUAGGACUUGAAUAAAUUCUAUUGCUGGAUUAAAAUUCUUGAUCCGUAAUUGUCUUGACAUUUUAAUCAUAAGUAGCAGGUUGGAAUCAAUGAUUUCAAUUGGAGAACAUAACCUAGGUUAAAUAAUCUGAGCUUGUGUGUUUAUUGCCUAGAUGAACCUAAUAUCUUUCUUUGCUUAAUGCUUCCAUUAUCUUAAAUUUAAAGAGCUUGUUUUCAAUUAUUUAAUGGUUCGAGAUUAGGUGAAGAUCUUGUUUUGCCUAACGACACACUAAGGAAAGAUUGAGACUAACAGAGCUUGUUGUUGUCUACGGUUGAUAGUUUUAAUAUAAAUUGAUGAUAUAAUUGAUAUAUUAUGUGCAUGUUUGGUGGUGGCGAAUGAUCCUUUAACCAAAGUUUUUCUCAUUGUUAUUUAUUUAU
rnacentral:lncRNA from 1 species